rnacentral:rRNA from 1 species
UUUUGGUGAGGUGCCUUCCGAGUUCCCUGGAACGGGACGCCACAGAGGGUGAGAGCCCCGUCUGGUUGGACACCGAGCCUCUGUAAAGCUCCUUCGACGAGUCGAGUAGUUUGGGAAUGCUGCUCUAAAUGGGAGGUAUAUGUCUUCUAAAGCUAAAUACCGGCCAGAGACCGAUAGCGCACAAGUAGAGUGAUCGAAAGAUGAAAAGAACUUUGAAAAGAGAGUUAAACAGUACGUGAAAUUGUUGAAAGGGAAGCGCUUGUGACCAGACUUGGGCUUGGUUGAUCAUCCGGGGUUCUCCCCGGUGCACUCUUCCGGCUCAGGCCAGCAUCAGUUCGCCCUGGGGGAUAAAGGCAGCGGGAAUGUGGCUCUCUCCGGGGAGUGUUAUAGCCCGCUGCGUAAUACCCUGUGGCGGACUGAGUUUUCGCGCA